AGCGCGCCCAGCCGCGCCCACAGCGUGCGGUUCAAGUGCGCACAGAGCGCCAGGUCCAGCGCGUUCUAGGCGCUCGCCCUGCACUCCACGCGCGGCUCCAGCGGCUCCGGGCCGAAGGCCGCGCGCCAGUGGGCGGGGACGGCCACCAGGUCAUCCAGGCCCCAGCGCAGUGCGGCGUAGGAGCCCCAGGGACUCGUCCAGGUGCUCGGCGAUCAGCAGCAGGUCGAAGCGCGCGGCCACCGCUUGCACCCCCGGGGCCAAGCGGCGCGUUGCCACCCUACAAGGCUGCGGCGCGUUGUGGUCGAAGCCUAGGUCCAAGGCCAUGAGGUUGUGGCCAUGGUGCCUGUCGGGCCGCCUGGGGUCGUAGAAGGCGCAGGAAGUGGCGCAGGAUCCAGGCUCCGACGAAGGGAGAGGCCGUCUUAGGGAAGAUUAAGCAUGGAGACAGUCACACAACACUGCCAUCUUUUACCCAAAUAAAUAGUCAUCACUUUACAGUCUUGUGCCAAAGCAUUAUCCAUUAGCCAGACCGCCUGAGAAAGGCAAAAGACUCCUGACAUCUGGAAAUCUUGCAGGCUUUCAAGGCUGCCUAUCUGCUUAUAAAACAAGGACGUGUCCGUUAUAGCUUUAAGUCUGCACUCUAUGUCUAGCUCCUAAAACUAGAGUCUGCCAGGUUCCACGCUGAUGAUGCUCAUCUUCCUGGGUACAGAACAAAGACAAGAUAAGGUCAACCAUUCUUCUGCCACCUGCCAUCCUACAAGCCUUCUCCCUGUAAGGAAAUAUGUAAAUUCUAAACCUCCUGAAAACCUGUUUGGAUAACGUCGGACACAGACAUGUCUGUGACUUGUGUUUUUCCCCAACACAUCCUCAAGCUCUGGCUUAAUAAAACUUGAUCAAUUGAGA